AUUCUAUGAUGAGGGCACUUCCAUAAUAAUUCUUUGUACCUUUCCCAUGCCUCAUACAAGGACUCAUCAUCCAUUUGUUGGAAAGCAAUAAUAUGUUCCUCAACUU
rfam:Gossypium arboreum cultivar AKA8401 contig_16177_3, whole genome shotgun sequence.